rnacentral:rRNA from 1 species
GGAGAGUUUGAUCCUGGCUCAGGAUGAACGCUAGCGGCAGGCCUAACACAUGCAAGUCGAGCGGUAGGCGCGCCCCUCGGGGCGCGCACGAGCGGCGGACGGGUGAGUAGCGCGUAUGCAACCUGCCCGGCCCCGGGGUCCAGCCCGCCGAAAGGCGGAGUGAUCCCCCGGGAUCCGCGGGCGCCGCCUGGCGCCGGCGGGGUAGGCCGCCCGCGAGGGUGGCCGGGGCCGGAUGGGCAUGCGUGCCAUUAGCUAGUAGGCGGGGCAACGGCCCACCUAGGCGACGAUGGCUCGGGGGCCCGGGAGGGCGGCCCCCCACACUGGGACUGAGACACGGCCCAGACUCCUACGGGAGGCAGCAGUGGGGAAUAUUGGUCAAUGGGCGGGAGCCUGAACCAGCCAUGCCGCGUGCCGGAUGGAGGCCCUAUGGGUCGUGAACGGCUUUUCCGGGGGAGGAAUAGGCCCCACGGGUGGGGCGAUGCCCGUACCCCGGGAAUAAGGAUCGGCUAACCCCGUGCCAGCAGCCGCGGUAAUACGGGGGAUCCGAGCGUUAUCCGGAUUUACUGGGUUUAAAGGGCGCGCAGGCGGGGGCGCGGGUCGGCGGUGAAACCCCGGGGCUCAACCCCGGGCAUGCCGCCGAAACCUCGCCCCUUGGAGGGGGCCGGGGCCGGCGGAACGCGUGGUGUAGCGGUGAAAUGCGUAGAUAUCACGUGGAAGGCCGAUCGCGGAGGCAGCUGGCCAGGCCCCCCUCGACGCUGAGGCGCGACAGCGUGGGGAUCGAACGGGAUUAGAUACCCCGGUAGUCCACGCCGUAAACGAUGGGCACUGGCCCCCGGGGCUCUAGGGCAUCGGGGGCUGCGCGAAAGCAUUAAGUGCCCCACCUGGGGAGUACGGCCGCAAGGCUGAAACUCAAAGGAAUUGACGGGGGCCCGCACAAGCGGAGGAACAUGUGGUUUAAUUCGAUGGUACGCGAGGAACCUUACCCGGGCUCGAACGCCGGCCGGAGGCCCCCGAGAGGGGGCCGCCCCACGGGGCGGCCGGCGAGGUGCUGCAUGGUUGUCGUCAGCUCGUGCCGUGAGGUGUCGCGUUAAGUCGCAUAACGAGCGCAACCCCCGCCGCCAGUUGCCAGCGCGUGAAGGCGGGGACUCUGGCGGGACUGCCGGCGCAAGCCGCGAGGAGGGCGGGGACGACGUCAAAUCAGCACGGCCCCCACGUCCGGGGCGACACACGUGUUACAGUGGCCGGCACAGCGGGCCGCCACCCCGCGAGGGGGCGCGAAUCCCGAAAGCCGGCCCCGGUUCGGAUCGGGGUCUGCAACCCGACCCCGUGAAGCUGGAUUCGCUAGUAAUCGCGCAUCAGCCACGGCGCGGUGAAUACGUUCCCGGGCCUUGUACACACCGCCCGUCAAGCCAUGGGAGCCGGGGGCGCCUGAAGCCCGCGCCCGGGAGGGGCGGUCGAGGGCGAGCCCGGCGACUGGGGCUAAGUCGUAACAAGGUAGCCGUACCGGAAGGUGCGGCUGGAACACCUCCUU